UACGUAGGGGGCAAGCGUUGUCCGGAAUCAUUGGGCGUAAAGCGCGUGUAGGCGGCCCGGUAAGUCCGCUGUGAAAGUCGGGGGCUCAACCCUCGAAUGCCGGUGGAUACUGUCGGGCUAGAGUACGGAAGAGGCGAGUGGAAUUCCAGGUGUAGCGGUGAAAUGCGCAGAUAUCAGGAGGAACACCAAUUGCGAAGGCAGCUCGCUGGGACGUUACUGACGCUGAGACGCGAAAGCGUGGGGAGCAAACAGG
rnacentral:rRNA from 1 species